CUCAGUCCUCUCAUUCUUAGCAUGUGUCAUAACUGUCUCAGCAUUACUUGUUACCCUCUCCUCCCUAUUUUUCUUUGUUGCAGAUUUUUUCCUUGCCAUUUUCGAACCUACACUUGUGCUGUCGAAACUGUGUUGUCUCCAGUUUUCAGCUUCUUGGCUUCCGAAGCAUUAGUGCUAUAUCAUUUCAAUACGACAAAAAAAAUUAAUGAUUUCUUUAAACUAUUAUUAACUUCCUUUAUCGAUCGAUCAUAGUAAUUUAUUCCUGUAAAAAAAACAACAUAAUUUACUUACACUUUCUUUUCCUUUUAUCCUCAUCCAUUGUCAAGAAAUCUGAAUUGAUGUCUUGUUUACGUCUAUCGUAAAAUCAAUAUCAAUUUCUCCUAUAAACAUAAACAAUUAGUACGGAUAAUUUACUAAUCAAUGCAUGUUAUAUUAGCAUUGGACAGUUCAUUUGUCGUAUAAAUUUUAAAAAAGAAAGAGUGCUAAACCGUCAUCGUCCCUUAUUUUAUCUCUUCGUGGUGAUGAUCGGAGAUCGCUAGAUUCCUUAGACGAAGACAUUCUUUUUGUUUAUAUUUAUUAAAAAAUCACUGAAUAUAUGUUAAAGUGCAAUAUAGAAAUCGACCAUCCAAGAGUUUUAAAAAAUCUAAAAAAAGUACCUUGUUCUCUAAAACACCUCUCUUCUUAAUGAAACCUCAGUAAAGCGACGCUCCUGUUUCGGUAAAAACAGAGAUUCAGCGGAACCCCUCACUCCGUUUUCUCAAGUCAACAGGAAUGGUUUAAAUAUAAAAAAAAACAUUCAUACCUUCUUAAAUGGACGCAUCCGAUCGUCUGAAGGAACCAUUUGACUAGGGUUUCUAUAGAAAAAUUUCGUCGACAAUGAGGGAUGAAAAAAGAGAGAGUUUUGGAUUUUAG
rnacentral:lncRNA from 1 species